rnacentral:lncRNA from 1 species
AUCCCAACCACAAGCUGCUGGAUUUCCUCUUCAUUUGAGUUAAAGUCUUUUGCCACUUGAUUUUAUUUUAGGACAAGACUCUCAAGCAGGUCUGAGGUUUGAGUUUGGGGGAUUUUCUUUGCAAUACUCCCAUAUUUUAACUCUUCUUUUUCACCAGAGGACUGUGAACAACCUUCUCCUGUGUCCAACCACUUUUUCUUCAUUUAUAAAUGUUGAAGAUUUCUUACUUUGAAGCCCCUUUUGCAACUCCUAGCAAAGUGCCUGGUACUAGACGAUAAAACUGGCAGACUCCAAUCCCUUCCUCCCUGAAACUCCCCUGUGGAUCAGACAUCACAAUGACAGUUCUGCAGUGCACACGCCUCUGUUUCUAUGUCUGGUCCAGGUCCAGAAGUAGCGAAACAAAGGCAGCUGUUAACAGCUCCGACUGGCCGAGGGAAAACCCAGAGGAUAAGAAAUCUCUUGAGAAGACCCAGAGCCAUGAGAUUUGCAGUCAGAUAGCCAGCCCAACUCUCAGUGACCUCUCAGAGAGAACUGAAAACGUCUGGCUGCUUGUCACAACUGAACAUCCAACCCCAUUGCUGAAGGAAACCCAUCUUCCAGGACAACAUGGAAAUGACCGCCUCAUUAAAAUCUCCUUGGCACAACCCAAGCUGGUCUUCCAUCACUGGGGGCAGAAGGAGCUGAGUGUGGAGGCAAUUUGUUCCUCGGAGCAUGCAUCAUUCCUCCAGUCAGGGCGUGCAUCUGGCCAGCCUGCCUUGGACUGCUUUACAGAGCCGUGGACGCUGUCCAGAGCGCUCUGCUCAGUGUCCCCGACAAGAUGGCCAUCAAAGACUGGGUUAGGGGUCAGGCACCCAAAGCCAUUAGCACUCCAAAGUGAUUGAUUACCAUCAUGUGUGGUCUCAAUCAAGAGCCGGAAAGACCACCUCUGCUAACACUCCUUGACUGGCAGCAGAAAGCCAGGAGAUGCCUGGAUCAUGCCUGAGGGAUGCCAGGAUGAAAAAGCACUCAGAGGACCCUGCAAAGCACUGUCCUGGUGGUAGAAGGAGCAAAAUGAGUCCUGGAAAUGCUCCUUCCAAUGAUCCCUAGAAAGAAAGGACCAGGCAGAGAAGUAUCAUCCCCAGAGACUCUCAUAGGACAGGAAAGAAACAGAAAGAUACAGAGUUGUGGAAUAAAACUACUGAUUUUCAAUAAAAUGAGAGAGCA